UACAGAGGGUGCGAGCGUUAAUCGGAAUUACUGGGCGUAAAGCGCGCGUAGGCGGCUUUGCAAGUCGGGUGUGAAAUCCUCAGGCUUAACCUGGGAACUGCAUUCGAGACUGCAUUGCUAGAGUAUGGGAGAGGGAAGUGGAAUUUCCGGUGUAGCGGUGAAAUGCGUAGAUAUCGGAAGGAACAUCAGUGGCGAAAGCGACUUCCUGGACCAAUACUGACGCUCAUGUGCAAAAGCGUGGGGAGCAAACAGG
rnacentral:rRNA from 1 species